AUUGAACGCUGGCGGCAGGCCUAACACAUGCAAGUCGAGCGGAUGAAGGGAGCUUGCUCCUGGAUUCAGCGGCGGACGGGUGAGUAAUGCCUAGGAAUCUGCCUGGUAGUGGGGGAUAACGUCCGGAAACGGGCGCUAAUACCGCAUACGUCCUGAGGGAGAAAGUGGGGGAUCUUCGGACCUCACGCUAUCAGAUGAGCCUAGGUCGGAUUAGCUAGUUGGUGGGGUAAAGGCCUACCAAGGCGACGAUCCGUAACUGGUCUGAGAGGAUGAUCAGUCACACUGGAACUGAGACACGGUCCAGACUCCUACGGGAGGCAGCAGUGGGGAAUAUUGGACAAUGCGCGAAAGCCUGAUCCAGCCAUGCCGCGUGUGUGAAGAAGGUCUUCGGAUUGUAAAGCACUUUAAGUUGGGAGGAAGGGCAGUAAGUUAAUACCUUGCUGUUUUGGCGUUACCAACAGAAUAAGCACCGGCUAACUUCGUG
rnacentral:rRNA from 1 species